UACGUAGGGCGCAAGCGUUGUCCGGAAUUAUUGGGCGUAAAGAGCUCGUAGGCGGCCUGUUACGUCUGCUGUGAAAUCCCGGGGCUUAACCCCGGGCGUGCAGUGGAUACGGGCAGGCUGGAGGCAGGCAGGGGAGAACGGAAUUCCCGGUGUAGCGGUGAAAUGCGCAGAUAGUCGGGAGGAACACCGGUGGCGAAGGCGGUUCUCUGGGCCUGUACUGACGCUGAGGAGUGAAAGCGUGGGGAGCAAACAGG
rnacentral:rRNA from 1 species